CAGUCGCCGCGGGAAUACAGAGGGUGCGAGCGUUAAUCGGAUUUACUGGGCGUAAAGCGUGCGUAGGCGGCUUCUUAAGUCGGAUGUGAAAUCCCUGAGCUUAACUUAGGAAUUGCAUUCGAUACUGGGAAGCUAGAGUAUGGGAGAGGAUGGUAGAAUUCCAGGUGUAGCGGUGAAAUGCGUAGAGAUCUGGAGGAAUACCGAUGGCGAAGGCAGCCAUCUGGCCUAAUACUGACGCUGAGGUACGAAAGCAUGGGGAGCAACAGGAUUAGAUACCCCGGUAGUCCCUGUCUCUUAUACC
rnacentral:rRNA from 1 species